UGGAGCUCAGUGUCCAGUAGAAAUCACUGAUGUAGCAAUGUUGCAGUAAAUAGAAAUGAUUAUAUAUUUCAAUAGCUUAGCAAGAAGACAUUUAUAAUAUUUUUUUCUUUCAUCUGAUUAAGUUUUGCUGUCUGUUUUCUUCCAGAGAGAUGUGGAUAAUUUGCCCUGCCUCCAACAUCUCUUUCUCAGCUUCAAUAAUAUAUCUAGUUUUGACAGUGUUUCCUGCCUUGCUGACUCUUCUUCCCUCUCGGACAUCACCUUUGAUGGCAAUCCCAUAGCUCAAGAGUCAUGGUACAAACACACUGUCCUUCAGAAUAUGAUGCAGCUGCGCCAGCUAGAUAUGAAGAGAAUCACGGAGAAGAGAAGGUUAACAAUUAACAACGUAGCUCGACAGUGGGACUUGCAACAACAACGAGUAGCCAAUAUUGCUACAAAUGAAGAUAGAAAAGAUUCUGACUCUCCUCAGGACCCCUGUCAGAUUGAUGGAAGCACCCUCUCUGCAUUCCCAGAGGAAACAGGGCCUCUAGACUCAGGACUCAACAAUGCUUUACAAGGUUUAUCUGUCAUAGACACAUACCUUGUUGAAGUGGACGGGGAUACACUUUCCCUGUAUGGCUCAGGAGCACUGGAAUCUCUGGAUAGGAAUUGGAGUGUUCAAACAGCAGGAAUGAUCACAACAGUCUCCUUCACUUUCAUAGAAUUUGAUGAAAUUGUCCAAGUGCUUCCUAAACUGAAGAUUAAAUUUCCUAAUUCUCUGG
rnacentral:sRNA from 1 species